CCCUUCAAGUUCAUGGUGAAAAAGUUCUGAAGUCCAUGGAUGAGAAGAAACGUGACUGUGAUUUAGAAGAAACCACUGAAGACCUUUCACGGGAGCAAAGGAAAACUAAAUCCACAUGAUGCUGCAACUACAGAUUGAUUACGGCAAAAAUAAGAGAUUCAGCCAGUAGCAUUACUAAUGAGACCUCGGGAACCCAUGGGAGAAUGCCCAUAGGAUUUAAGAAACCAUGGGAGGGCCACCUUCCAGAUUACUCGCCCAGCAAUUAAAGUGGCUCCUUAGUUGGAGGCCCAGGACGGCCGAGGACAGCUGGAGAGCUCUUCUUUGCA